CCGUUUUGCAGGCCCCGUGCCCGCCAUUACGAUUUACGCCCCGCCCCGACCCCCCGCUUCAAUGCCCUCAUUCCCUUCUUGAGCUCGCCCGCCCGCGCAACCUCAUCCCCCCUCCCGUCAUCCCGUGCCGGAGCUGCAGCUGCCAUUGCCCUUCUCGUGCUCCUCCUAGCCCACUGCCCACGCCGCCUGACGCCUCGCUGUAACCGAACCCCCCUUUUGGGGGCUUGGAGGCGCCUGCUUGUCCGCUUCCUGCCCCCGCCUCCCCACCCACGACGCCCUCCCGCGCGCCGGAAACCUCCAACCCCGGGGCUUUGUAGUUUGUUGCCACCCGCUUUGGCCCUUGCGGCGGUCACAUCGCGCCCCCCCUGCCGCGGCGUGCGCCCAAAAGGAAACGAGACCAGAGCUCGGGAUCAGCAGCUCCCCGGCGCCCCGCCCCGCCCCGUCCCCUCACGUGCCCGCGCCAGUGAGAGCCGCCCGCCGCGGCCACGCCUUCCUUGGCCGGAUUCCGAUCGCUGGCGAGUUCCAAUCUCGGCGGCGCCCGUGCGCGGGGGAGAAUGCGGGUCGUGGAGGCCCCCGCCGCCCGAUAAUUUCGACAGAGGUUUCGAGGAAGGCUUCGGACUUGCAGCUCGAGUUUCUUCUAGGCGCGCGCACCGAGAGGACAGUCUGAAGGGUGAGCUCAAGGGAGUUGGGGGCGGGGAUGGAGAGCCGGGGGCGGCGGCCGCGGACGCCGGAGCGGCAGAGGCCGCCGGCGCGGAAGGUGCCGGUGGUGUACUACCUCACGCGGAGCCGCCACCUCGAGCACCCGCACUUCGUCGAGGUGCCGGUGGCCUCGCCGGAGGGGCUCUACCUCAGAGAUGCCAUCAACCACCUCAACACGGUGCGCGGCAAGGGCAUGGCCGCGAUGUACUCGUGGUCCUGCAAGAGGAGCUACAAGAACGGGUUCGUGUGGCAGGACCUCGCCGAGGAUGACCUCGUCCUCCCGGCAACCGACGGCGAGUAUGUGCUCAAGGGCUCCGAGCUCGUGGACCAAUCCGCUUCAGGUCAAUUGCACCCUGUCAGUAACGGCAACCACAAGCAACAGAGCAGGCUGAAAGAAGGUGCACGGCAGCCACUGCCAAGAGAGCACUCCUACCCAUCCUCCCCUCCAAGCGUGAUAGUUAGAGAAGCCAAGCCCCGGCGUUCACCAUCUGUGCCUUCACAAGAUGAGGAUGACACCCCGUCGCCGUGCAGGGAUCGUUCCUUCAGGACCAUGUCGCCGGACUUGGAGCCCCAUAGGAGUGAGAGGACUCAACUGCCAGAGAGUGGGUCUGGGAGCCCAGCGGAGUUCAGAGUUUACAAGCCCACUGGUUGCAUGGAUGCUGCAACUCAAACUGAUGAUCUUGGCAGAAGAUUGGGUCGGAGAGCACCUGAGGUGCGCAAGAAGAGUCUGAGCACAGAUCAUGAUGCUGUAGUUCGUGAAAUUACUGAAUACCGGCAAAGCCACCCUCGCCGGUCAGCAGAUCUCCAAGGGAUCUCCAGGGAACUCCUGUCCCAGUGUGCUACUCCAUUGAGUAUACCUUCAACCCGUGGAAAGUCCGAGAGUUUAGAGUCCUUGAUACGAGCAGAUAAUGCGACAAACAGUUUCAGAAUUCUUGAAGAGGAGGACAUCGUUGUGCCCACCUGCCCGAAGCUGAAGCCAACAAAUUUAUUGAUGCAGCUCAUCACUUGUGGUUCGCUUUCAGUGAAAGAUCAUGAAAAUGUUGGAAUUGUUCAGGCAUACAAGCCAAGGUUCCCAAACCUGAAGUUCUCGUCUCCGUUAAUUUCUCGCACCAUGAUGAUGGGUGAGCUUGAUUACCUGUCAGAAAAUCCCAGGUUAAUGGGGAUGAGGUUGGAAGAAAAGGAAUACUUCAGUGGAAGCCUUAUUGAGACUAAGACGCAAAGAGAUGUUCCAGCCGAGAGGUAUUUGGCACUAAAACGGUCGUCUUCCUACAAUGCAGAAAGGGGUGGCGAGACUCUAGAUUGCGCAAGACCUGAUGAGGAUACAGCAGACACAUCAUCGCGCUCAAGGUGCCUCCCCCGGACGCCAAUCCUGUCAUCCUUCCUGCACUCGAAGAGUGACACCCUGAAAUCCCCGGUCUCAGACUGCCGGAGGAGCUCUUCGGCCCGGCAGGACAGCGACCUGGCGUCCGGGGAUGGGAGCAGGAGGUUUGCCGACGCCUCAAUCACGUCAGCAGCAAAGACGGACUCGUUUAGAAAGGAGAAGCUCGUCAAGAUUGAGGAAAGUUAAGUGUUGCUCGUGGCCUCUCUUACCUGAAACUACUGUGAACUCUUUGUCAGUGCUGGCCUGCUGGGCUGUCAUCCGGAGCUCGCGUUGUGAUCCAGUACACCAUCCCCUGCAACGAGAGCGACGAAGGCUCUGAGCGCUGAGGGGAGUGACCAUGCAGCGAUCCCGCUGUGCUUUUGCUAGGGAGAUUCUCCUUGGCAGAUUAGCGAGAAGCAUUGCAUCUCUUUGUAAGUGCCGAUUGCUAGGGAGAUUCUCCUUGGCAGAUUAGCGAGAAGCAUUGCAUCUCUUUGCUAGUUCUUUUUGUCAUUUUUUUACCUUCUUCCUUAGAAGUUUAUAUCCUAUUAUCAUUUUGUAAGUGCCGAUUAAAAUGUAUCUGUUGUGUUUUUGCCCCCUGUGGCCUGUGGUUCUAUAAUCGUUUUCUAUUGGUGGAUGA